rnacentral:rRNA from 1 species
GUGCCAGCCGCCGCGGUAAUACGAAGGGGGCGAGCGUUGUUCGGAUUUACUGGGCGUAAAGGGCGCGCAGGCGGCCAUUCAAGUCAGGCGUGAAAGCCCCGGGCUUAACCUGGGAGGUGCGCUUGGGACUGGGUGGCUAGAGAUCGGGAGAGGAGAGUGGAAUUCCCAGUGUAGAGGUGAAAUUCGUAGAUAUUGGGAAGAACACCGGUGGCGAAGGCGGCUCUCUGGACCGAUACUGACGCUGAGGCGCGAAAGCGUGGGGAGCAAACAGGAUUAGAUACCCUGGUAGUCC